rnacentral:rRNA from 1 species
GAUGAACGCUGGCGGCGUGCUUAACACAUGCCAGUCGAACGGGAAAUAUUUCAUUGAGACUUCGGUGGAUUUGAUUUAUUUCUAGUGGCGGACGGGUGAGUAACGCGUGGGUAACCUGCCUUAUACAGGGGGAUAACAGUCAGAAAUGGCUGCUAAUACCGCAUAAGCGCACAGAGCUGCAUGGCUCAGUGUGAAAAACUCCGGUGGUAUAAGAUGGACCCGCGUUGGAUUAGCUAGUUGGUGGGGUAGCGGCCCACCAAGGCGACGAUCCAUAGCCGGCCUGAGAGGGUGAACGGCCACAUUGGGACUGAGACACGGCCCAGACUCCUACGGGAGGCAGCAGUGGGGAAUAUUGCACAAUGGGGGAAACCCUGAUGCAGCGACGCCGCGUGAAGGAAGAAGUAUCUCGGUAUGUAAACUUCUAUCAGCAGGGAAGAUAGUGACGGUACCUGACUAAGAAGCCCCGGCUAACUACGUG